UCUCCUGUUUUGGAGAUAAAUAGCAUGGGGCCCCUCUGGGAGUCACACUUGCCAAAAGCUGCCCCAGCCUCUAAUUGUUUCCUUGAUGUGUGUAAAGAAGUGUAAAAAAUAAAACUUUGGGGUUUGUGGCAUCUCUGACUGGAACAAGCUGUUUAGAAAUGCAUCCUCUGAGACACUGAAUCAUUGUUUUUUACCCCAAGGCACUAAAACCCCAAACACCCUGACACUGUUCAAGAAUAAUACAAAUACAAAAAGCAUCUGUUUUGUCACCAGAGCAGUCCUGCAUGCGUAGACAUUAAGACUAAAACAGGUGAUGCAAACAGUUCAAGGAGCUUUGUUUGUAAUUUCCCUUUCAUAAAAAUACUUUUUCCUGGAGGUCUGAGCAGAAGGUUAGACCAUAUCCAGAGCUUUCAAGGAAAAUCCACUGUGACAGGAGUAAUUUUGUCACUAUAUCUGGAUGCGGAUAUCAGUGUUGUCUUUUAUUGAUGUUUGGACAUAUUAGCCCAAUAAUAAUAUCAUACAAGAUGUAGGUGUGAAUUUAGUGUGUGGCACAGGGGAUCUCUAACCCUAUGUGGAGCUUGUGGGGUUAGAGAGGUAAUAACAUCACCAUAUUUUAGUGAGGAGACGUGCAGGCUGUUAGUGGUGACAGGCAUCUAGGAGGCUGGGGACUGUGACCUGCCCAUGGAGAGCUUAAUCAGAAUGCAAAGAUCUUUUAGGAACUUACCCUGGAACCAUGGGCCCCUGGUGAGAGGAGGGCAGAAGCUGGAACAGGGGCUGCUUCUGGCAGCCUGUCUGACGGAAGGGCAGGCAAUUUGGAAGGAGAGAUUGUGUCCGGGUGUCAAGCCAGUAAUCCCUUUGAUUCUGUCUAUCAAUCAGUUCCCAAAACAAUGUAUUUACAUUUCUAAAAAUGCAGAAUUGACUGGGGUGCUUUUGGGCAAGGGAGAAAGAAAAGGCGAGCUGUAUUCCUCUGCUUCUCUGUAAUUCCAGCCUUCUUUCACAGCCAUAAAUCUUCCUCAGAAGGCUUUGAAAGUCUUUUUGAGCAUUAAAAGCUUGGGUGGUCAGGGUCAGGUGAGUUCCUUCCUCCCUCCUUCCCCAGACAAUGAGUGCUUUUAAGAGGCCUACCCUUCUAGUUAGAUUUCCUUAUCUGUCCUUUUUAUAUUCCUCUUCCCCACAGGAAACAAAGCAGUGCAUACAACAGACUAGGGACUGUAUAAUUCCUAAUGCAGAUUUAAAAGAGAAAAAUCUUUUCUUGCAUGUUCCCAGAAGAUAGGAUCAGUAUCCAGUGAACCCAGGUAGACAUAGAUGCAAUCAUGACUGCAUGUUACUGUGUUGCACACCUGAGAAUGUGUUGCAUAGAAAACCAGCACCAAUAAAUAGGUUCUGAAAGAAUAAAUGCUCUGAUCCUUAAGUACCAGAAAUCUUUCCUGAGCCACAUUCAGGUCCUGUUCCACUCACAUGAAGUUUGUGCUUCUUAUAAUAGGCAUGUGACAAUUCUACUCUACUCAUGUGUGUCCAAUUUUGAAUACCUGCUUUGAUCUGUGAAUGAAUAGCACAUGCUGUUGCAGAUAAUAGGACAUGUUAUGCAUUUUGGCAGACAGUGGCUUGAAAACAAUGUUUUGUUCCUACAAUGAUUUUAAAGCUACAGGACCAUGCUCUGAGCAGGAACGGUACCUUUUUUUCCUGUUGGUUACAUUAAAAAUCUCUUACGUACCUCUGUAAGAAUGCUGUAGACAACAGUUUCUCAAAGAUUAAACUGGAAUCUGCAGCACAUAUAUCACGUUAAUUCCUUUGACUUUUAAUGUUUUUAUCUCCCUAUUAUUGUCUUAUAUUGACAAAAUGUCUGUACCUUUGAAAAUGAAGGUCUGAUUAUUAGGACCCUUCCUAGACAGGUCUUGUCCAUAUUACGAAAUGGGAACAAGGUUUAAUCACAAUUACUUGCCAGGCUGAAUAUGAUUUGCUCUGAUCUACAGUGACAGGUCAGUUAUGGUCAUCGUUAUGUCACAUCUCGAUGCAACAAAAUUUCGUAAUGAAAGCAAGUCCAUGAAUAGUGAGUUUUUGCAAAAAGGAUGCACCAUUUGUUUUGUAUGUGGUACUGUGUGUACUGUAAGACACAGAAAGAGACAGUAAAAGCUGUGAAUAUUCAAGCUGUACUUUACUGCUAAAUGUCCUGUUAGAGGCUUCAUUAUCAGUGAACAGUUUUUAGGAGAGCUGUUCCUUUAGUGGGGUCUAAAAAGCUGGGUCCUUUCAGUAGUAUUCUCAAAAGGAAACUUCCUGAAACCACAUGGAUUUCUGGUUCUCUCAGAAUAGACAUCACAUUUUUAAUGUGAGCUGGGACAGUGCCAGAGUUACCUGUCUGCAAGAUUAAUUCAUAACUCUACAGAGAGCCUUACCUUGUAAAUUUAAACUGAGUUGAGUAUUGGAUUCUAAAUUCCAUUUGUUUCAGCAAGACUUUGGAUCUAAAUAACCAUAUAUAUUUCAGGAUUUUAGAAUCUGAGAAUUUGUCUUAUUGAAGACGCUGUAUCUUUUCAGCUACCUUUUGUAUUUGAAUUCAUUCAUAUAAUGAAACUAUAAGAACAGGGUGAAUAUUUACAAAGUUGGAGUUCCCAAUGGUACUAUGAUUCUAUGAUGAUCCUAUGGCACAGAUGCCUGGAAGAAGGUAAAUGUGGAUAGAUCAUGUUCAGCACCUCCUGAAAAUGUACUGCUUCCAGCAGAGCACAGAAGAACAGUAACACCCAAACUGUCAUUUUGAAAUGGGAAUAGGAUGCUGAGUAAGAAAAAAGUAAGUACCUGCAGGUAAGCAGGUGGACUAGAAAAACUUCCCACAUAUUGUCUGUUUCUAUUUGCUCCUGUUUACAUUUAGGUCUUUCCUAUAACCCAGCUGCAUAAAAAAACAUCCUGUCAGGCUCAGUUCCUGUUGUUCCACUAGUUCUGGUCUAAUUACCUGUAUUUAUUAAAGGCCACAAAAAAAAAAAAAAAAAACCACCUACUAAAAAGCUAUUCAAAAAAUGCUCAAAACCUAGUCUGCCUUUAAAUAAGACUGCUUCUGGUAACUAUUUCAAGUCCUGAACAGUGUUUGAGUAUGAUUUACUCCCAGAAUUGAUGCUAAGCACUUGCUUUGCUGUUUAGUGACUCAGCUGGCUUUGCUGUUUAGUGACUCAAGCAGGAAUAACAAAUCAAGGUCAAUACUGUGAUACAAUCUAUUAGUAUAAGAGUUCUGACUUGCACAAAGCUUAGCCUUGACCUGUUUGGUAGCCCAUGGUACAUGAAGGCAUGUGGCCAAGAUCCACCUCACUUCCAGCACAGUGACCAUGGCCAAGAGCUGCCUCUGUACCACAUGAGGAGCCCAAGUUCCCACCUCUGACCUUCUGAGCCGCCUUUACCUCUGCCUUGUUCCACCUUGCCCUGAAACUGCUGCAGUGCAGCUGCUCUCAGCUCAGGAUGCUCUCAGCAACCAGUGGCUGCAUUCCCACUGCAAACUCUGCUAGCAGUUCCCUUUCUAGUGUUCUCUGGGAAAAUAGUUAUGUCCUACUGUAUUGUCAGUUCCUUUCUAAUGACUCUAAUAUUUUCAAGGGAAUGGAGAAAGAUGCUUCUGCUUUGGGUGUAUGGAAACUACAGAAUGCUUAGAAUAUACAUCGGGAUAAGAAAUCCUAGUGCUAUGUUGAUGGUGGGAAGAAAUUGAUAAUGAGCUCGUUCUUGGAUUGGAGAGUUUUCUUGAAUCCGAAUGCCAGCAAGGCUAUUUGAAAAGAAUAAAAGAAUAAUUAGAUUUGCUUGUGGAUUUCCUUUUUUCUUUUUGUUUGAUUAUUAUUUUAUUUAACCCUUUGAAUUUAUGAAAGUUGAAGGCAAAGCCUGACUAAUGUCUUUCUCUGUCAUUCACAGCAAAGCAGUAGGAAACAAUGUCACGUGUAUUGGAUAAAGAAUAACUGCAGCAGCCCUUAAAUGCUCGUGUCAAACUGGUGCCUUCUUCCCCCAGAACCAACCACAGCUCUUGCUGAAGCAGUCAGGCUGAGCUGUGUUUUUACAGUCCCUAAGCAAAGCUGAAGCUGCACAAAAGGGAUUUAGCUGAGCGUAAGCUGCUGCCCAUGAAACACCUCAUUUUUUCUUCAACAGCUUUCCAGCCCUGAGCAGCACUGGAUCAAACUGCAGUGUUGAUUUUCCUGAGCAGCAGCAGCAGCCCCAGCAGCCAUCCCUUCUCUGAGCCUGAAGGUCUGUGUUUCCUGAAUCAACACAUCCAGCACUUAGCUUUUCUUCCUGCUGUUACUCAGAUCACAGCCCUGAUCACAUUGUGGACUACACACAUCACUUAUGCUGCUGGUACGUGUUUUGUAGUCAUGAGAACAGCAAGCAGACAAUUCACUAAAUUUUGUAAUUGAUCACUAACGGAUGUGGUAAAGCUCUCCAUCAGUCUGAGUCCCUAAAUCAGAGCUGGCUGUCUUUCAGAAAGGGAUGGUCAUACUCAGCUGGAAUAGAUUGGGGUGGUACAGAAAUAAUAGGGCAAAACAAUGGUAUGGCUGCUUCUAUGCAGGAGAUAAGUUUAAAUACUGGUGUCUUUAGGUCUUACAUUUAUUUAUUUUUUUCACAAGGAAGGUGGUAUGUACAUCCAUCAGCCUAUAUGGUAGCCUGCAACUGGGUGUUAACUCUUUCAUUUAUGUAGAGCUGUGAAGCUCUGGGUAGAGCUGUUGUUCUGUCUCCCAAGCUCCUGUUCAGAAAAAGAUCUUAAAACGCAUUGUUUCAUGUUAAAAAAAAAAUAAAAUAAAAUGUAUCAGUCUUUUGCUUCCAGCAUCAGGUGUAGAAGGACAGCCCUUCUCUUCCUUCACUUACAGAGCAGUUAUUUUGCACAGCUUGCUAGGUAAGGACAGGCCAGCACACUUGUAUUGGUGCCAGGAAUAUUGCUGCUGAUUGAGAUCACCGAACCAUGUCAGAGCUCAGCUGCAUCCAUGUCAGAGAAGCAUGUCUGAGACUAGUUACAGCUAACAAGCCUCUAUUUGACAGGGAAAAAAUAUAAAAUAAAAAGACCAGAGUGAGAUUUAUGACAAUUUCAAGAACAGAAUAAGCAAUAUGAACAGAUGAGCCCCUUAUAAUGGUGUGGUCCUCUUUACAUGCAAGUAUUUUCUAUGGCUAGAAAAUGAGAAAUUCUGAAAGUAACAGAAAGAGCUGCUACAAGCUCUUCAUGUAAAGUUUUUCUUCAUUUCCAUGGGAUUCUGUUGAAUGGUUGAAAACAUAAAAAGGAAGAUCAGAAACUGCUUGCAACACAAAGCAAAACGUAAGUGCCAAGAACAUACUCUGGAUUUUUGUGUAAGAUGUCUGGUUCUUAUCUCAGCCCUGAUUCAUCACAGUUUACUCUCAGAGUUAUUCAGAAUUCAACGACCUUGCUCCUUUGGGGUUAAUGGGUCAUGUUCAGCACAGAAACCCAUGACACAAAGCACUGUUUAAUUAUUCGGUCCAGUCUGGUUUUGUUGGUUAAUGGAAAUAAAAAUAGCAAGAGGAACAAUUAUAUUGUUUUACAUGACUUACAUUUUGUAGGUGAAUUUUUAUUUAUUUAUUUAUUUAUUUAUUUAUUUAUUUUCUGUUAACCAUGUAAUCAAAGUUUGCACAUAGGAAGGAGUAGCCAUGUAAAGGAGGGGUUGGUCUGCUUGUGACAUGGAGGAUCAGCCUAAAGAGGAAGAAAAGGAAAGCACCACCAUAAACAUGACAGUAGAAGUAAGCUGAAAACAUACAAGGCUAGAAAUCUUAUCAUAUUGGGAGUCUUGCUAUUCUAAAGCAGGAUCUGUGGGGAAGAAGCUACAGCCCUUGUUGGCUCACAUCGCUUUUUUUAUACGUGGGGAAAAAAAAAUGCUGAAGUGAUAUAAUUACCAUAUUUAUUCUCUCUGUUCAAGAGAUGAGGUGGUUUUCCACCCCGAAUUCAGUUCAAUCAGCCACUGUAGUACCAGCUAGGAACUAAUGCCACAAGAUGCAGCCACAAAUGCAUUGUCUCACACUUCAAAUGCACCAUAAAGGAUGUAAAGGCACAUUACAGAUGGAGGAGCACUGAAGUGUCAUGCAGCAUUCCUGUUACAAGGAAUUUGUACGUAGCUAACCAAGGAUACAGUGUAAAAUAAACAUCGUCAAAGGUGUACUGCCCCAAUAGCUAACAAAGCCAGUUUGGAGCGAUGGUUCUAAACAUGGGUUUUCUAUGAAGGCUCAGGCUUAACAUAUGAUUAUCUGAGCUCUGUUUGGAUGGCAUGCUGUGGCACUAGGUUGGAAAUAGGCAGGUCAAAGAAAUAAAUAAGAUCAUUUCAAGCCAAAA